rnacentral:rRNA from 1 species
UACAGAGGUCCCAAGCGUUGUUCGGAUUCACUGGGCGUAAAGGGUGCGUAGGUGGCGAGGUAAGUCGGAUGUGAAAUCUCCAAGCUCAACUUGGAAAUGGCAUUGGAAACUACCUUGCUUGAGGGUCGGAGGGGGGACUGGAAUUCUCGGUGUAGCAGUGAAAUGCGUAGAUAUCGAGAGGAACACCAGUGGCGAAGGCGGCCUUCUGGACAGUGACUGACGCUGAGACGCGAAAGCGUGGGGAGCAAACAGG